rnacentral:lncRNA from 1 species
GCCAAGUUUCAAUCAGUAGGUCGGGGAAUGAUACUAAUGUGAAGAAAAUUAUCUGGAUAGCUCAUAUGUUCGCUUAGCCACUGUAGUGGUGUUUCCAGCAUUGGCUCAAUUCCAUGAAUCAUCACUUGAGUCGUCUUCUCUCCAUCUUCAGGGGUGAUAGCACUAGGACAUACAUCUUUUAGAAGAUCUCCCAAAGUGUGCAAUUGUCCUCCAGAAGCAAUUGGUCGAAACAGCUUUUGUAUAAAAGGUCUCUCUGUUGUUGCCUGAUAAAUUCUAAAUGGGAUGUACCGAAAUCCACUAUCUUCUGGAGGAUACUCCAUGAGUUUUCGAUUUAUAGCCCAAAAUUGCUCAAAUUUAUCAUUCUGUAACCCCAUCC